GAUGAACGCUAGCGGCAGGCUUAAUACAUGCAAGUCGAGGGGCAGCGCAGUGUAGCAAUACAUGGGCGGCGACCGGCAAACGGGUGCGGAACACGUACAGAACCUUCCUUCGAGCGGGGAAUAGCCCAGAGAAAUUUGGAUUAAUACCCCAUAGUAUAUUGAAGAGGCAUCUCUUUAAUAUUAAAGAUUUAUCACUUGAAGAUGGCUGUGCGGCUGAUUAGGUAGUUGGCGGGGUAACGGCCCACCAAGCCUUCGAUCAGUAACUGGUGUGAGAGCACGACCAGUCACUCGGGCACUGAGACACGGGCCCGACUCCUACGGGAGGCAGCAGUAAGGAAUAUUGGUCAAUGGACGCAAGUCUGAACCAGCCAUGCCGCGUGGAGGAUGAAGGUCCUCUGGAUUGUAAACUUCUUUUAUCUGGGACGAAAAAGGGUCUUUCUAGAUCAACUGACGGUACCAGAUGAAUAAGCACCGGCUAACUCCGUGCCAGCAGCCGCGGUAAUACGGAGGGUGCAAGCGUUAUCCGGAUUCACUGGGUUUAAAGGGUGCGUAGGUGGGUUGGUAAGUCAGUGGUGAAAUCCCCGAGCUUAACUUGGGAACUGCCAUUGAUACUAUCAGUCUUGAAUACCGUGGAGGUUAGCGGAAUAUGUCAUGUAGCGGUGAAAUGCUUAGAUAUGACAUAGAACACCAAUUGCGAAGGCAGCUGGCUACACGAAUAUUGACACUGAGGCACGAAAGCGUGGGGAUC
rnacentral:rRNA from 1 species